rnacentral:rRNA from 1 species
CCUACGUGUGGCUGCAGUGAGUAAUAUUUGUCCAUGGGCGCGAGCCUGAACCCGCCAAGUAGCGUGAAGGAUGACUGCCCUACGGGUUGUAAACGUCUUUUAUAAAGGAAUAAAGUGAGGCACGUGUGCCUUUUUGUAUGUACUUUAUGAAUAAGGAUCGGCUAACUCCGUGCCAGCAGCCGCUGUAAUACGGAGGAUCCGAGCGUUAUCCGGAUUUAUUGGGUUUAAAGGGAGCGUAGAUGGGUUGUUAAGUCAGUUGUGAAAGUUUGCGGCUCAACCGUAAAAUUGCAAUUGAUACUGGCAGCCUUGAGUACAGUUGAGGUAGGCGGAAUUCGUGGUGUAGCGGUGAAAUGCUUAGAUAUCACGAAGAACUCCGAUUGCGAAGGCAGCUUACUAAACUGCCACUGACAUUGAUGCUCGAAAGUGUGGGUAUCAAACAGGAUUAGAUACCCUGGUAGUC